CUCGGAAGGAGAAGACAGUCUGCGUUACAGAGAAGUGCAGUGAUCGCUGCUGUGGUAUUUAAUUAGUUACAGUUUAGGAUUUAGGACCCCAGAAGGCACCUGGAGGUAGAACUGGGUAAAGGAGAGAAUAUACCAAGUCACCGAACAGCAGAUUGCUGAAAAGGUGAAGACUACCACAAAGGACAAUGCACAACUAGCAGAAAAAUUGUCAAGUUAUGAACAGAAGGUCCUGGAAAAUGAGAAAUCUGUGGAGAAGCUAAAGGAGGUUAUUUCAAUGAAUGCCUCAGAAUUUUCCAAGCUAGAGCAGGAAGUUGAAGACCAGAAGAAGCUGAACGCUAAACUCAGCCAGCGAAUCAGGUCGUUGGAAAAGUCUCAGAGGGAUCUGGAAGCCACUCUCCAUGAUAAGGAUGAUAGCAUUGGUGCUCUGAACAACUGCAUCAUGCAGCUGAACCGGUUGGAGGAGAGGGGAUUGGAAUCUGAAGGUCCAGGUCCACACAGAUGUGAGCCAGGUGAAUUAGCCAAAGGAGAAGUGGGAGAAAGAUCUCCAACUCCUGCAGUUGAAGCUGAGAGCCUCCCUGUCUGCCAGAUGUGAUCUGGAAGACCAGAUCGUGAAGCUAGGUGAGGACCUCGGCAGGCUGCAGGCAGACAAGGCCCGGAUGAGGAGGAGUUUAGCAUGCUGCAGCAGAAGGUGGAGGUCCUGAAGGAGCUGUCCCACCAGAAGGAGCUGGAGCUGCAGAAGUGAGUCCCAGACAUUUUGCCCAGUGUCUCAUGCUGGCCAUUCCUGUCACUUCUGAUUGCCUAGCAGCUUCGAUGUGCAGUGAUCAUAGAGGAAACUUGGGGCCCAGGGUGCUGCUGGUUUCCUGUGAUGGCGACCUGAGGCUGCUCCUGCCUGUCCGCCAUCACCUUCAUCCAGCUAGCAGUUUGGCCCUGCGUCCCUGCCUCUGUAGCCUCAGCUCCACUACUUGUUUCUUGAAGCCUAGGGAUUUGUCUAGGGCUCAGUUCAGCAUCUUUGGCAUUGUCCUCCAUGUGUGGGUUGAGGGAGGGCAGCACUGGCCUCUGGGCCCACAUUUCGCUUUCUGGCUGGGGCCAAGGCUCCCGUCCACCCAUUCGGCCUAUCUUGUGUGCUUAUCAUGGCCUAGGUCUAGAGGAACAGCUCUUCCCUGACAGUAUGGGGGAAGGGGUGGGUAGACUCCGCCUAUUGCUUUCCCAGCAGCUCUGCUGGACAAUCCUGGCUUCCCUCGGGGUACACUCAUCUCCCACACAGGCAGCUAGAGCCUGGCGCAUGCUGUGCUCUUAGCUUGUUCUGCCACAGCGCAGCUUUCCCAGCUCCCCAUUUCCGAGAAGUGCUGAGCAGGUGGAUCCCGCGCAGGCGGAGGCCUCCUUCGACCUCCCCACCCCCACU